UACGAGGGGGGCGAGCGUUGUUCGGAAUUAUUGGGCGUAAAGGGUGCGUAGGCGGCCUGACAAGUCUGAUGUGAAAUCCCUGGGCUCAACCCAGGGCCUGCAUCGGAAACUGUCGGGCUUGAGUAUGGGAGAGGUGAGUGGAAUUUCCGGUGUAGCGGUGAAAUGCGUAGAUAUCGGAAGGAACGCCGGUGGCGAAAGCGACGUGCUGGACCUCUUCUGACGCUGAGGCGCGAAAGCUAGGGGAGCAAACGGG
rnacentral:rRNA from 1 species